GGUUCCGUAGUGUAGCGGUUAUCACAGUCGGUUCUGAUGUCUCAUUAUCCGACUAACCCCGGUUCGAUUCCGGGCGGGACCU